rnacentral:rRNA from 1 species
CCUUACUGCUAUCGGGGUGGGACUAAGACAUGCGAGUCGAGCGUCUCUAGCUAUGUUGAGACGCGGCAGACGGCUCAGUAACACGUGGCUAACCUACCCUCAGGACGAGGAUAAACCCGGGAAACUGGGGCUAAUACUCGAUAGGUGAGAAUGUCUGGAAUGAUUUCUCAUUCAAAGGGCUUUAGAAACAUGCUUCUAAAGCCGCCUGGGGAUGGGGCCGCGUCCGAUCAGGUUGUUGGUAAGGUAACGGCUCACCAAGCCUAUAACCGGUACGGGCCGUGAGAGCGGUAGCCCGGAGAUGGGUACUGAGACAAGGACCCAGGCCCUACGGGGCGCAGCAGUCGCGAAAACUCCGCAAUGCACGAAAGUGUGACGGGGCUACCCCGAGUGCCAUCCGCUGAGGAUGGCUUUUCUUUGGUGUAACUAGCCGGGGGAAUAAGGAGAGGGCAAGACUGGUGUCAGCCGCCGCGGUAAUACCAGCUCUCCGAGUGGUAGGGAUGAUUAUUGGGCUUAAAGCGUCCGUAGCCGGCUUAGCAAGUCUCCUGUUAAAUUCAGCGACCUAAUCGUUGAGCCGCGGGAGAUACUACUAGGCUAGGAGGCGGGAGAGGUCGACGGUACUUCUGGGGUAGGGGUGAAAUCCUAUAAUCCCGGGAGGACCACCAGUGGCGAAGGCUGUUGACUAGAACGCGCUCGACGGUGAGGGACGAAAGCUGGGGGGGCGAACCGGAUUAGAUACCCGGGUAGUCCCAGCCGUAAACGAUGCGGGCUAGGUGUUGGGGUGGCUACGUGCCACUUCAGUGCCGCAGGGAAGCCAUUAAGCCCGCCGCCUGGGGAGUACGGCCGCAAGGCUGAAACUUAAAGGAAUUGGCGGGGGAGCACCACAAGGCGUGAGGCUUGCGGUUC